rnacentral:rRNA from 1 species
CCCUUAGAUGUUCUGGGCCGCACGCGCGCUACAAUGGUCUUCGCAAACGGAUGCAUUCUCGAAGGAGAAUACCAAUCUUGGAAUCUAUGCCUUGGUCGGGACAGUUGCUUGCAAUUUUUCGACUCGAACCAGGAAUUCCUUGUAAUCGUGAUUCAUCACAUCACGAUGAAUACGUCCCUGCCCUUUGUACACACCGCCCGUCGCUCCUACCGAUCGAAGAGUUAGGUGAAUUGUUUUGAUCGAUAAGAUUUGACUAUGGUCAACUCUCGUUGUGAAAUUCUGUGAAUCUGACUGUUUAGAGGAAGGAAAAGUCGUAACA